UACAUAAAUUCAAAAAACGUUCAGUCUUCUACCACAGCGUAAUAGCAUAAUAUUAUUUUUAUUGCGGCGUCAAGAUGUUCUUCAAGAUCGUGGUUCAGAGGCCGUGCGAUGUUAUACGGAUUAUGGAUAAUGGAUAUCAAUAGAGUGAAUAAUGAUGAACGUAAGGAACUAAGGUUUUAAUUAUAGUAAAUGUUAAUUAUUAAUUGUUAAUUGGUUAUAACUUGUACAGUCGUAUUAUAAUUAUUGGUAUAAACGUAGGUAUAAUAUUCCCAUAUAGUAUACGUGCUACCUACUGCUAACUGCAAUAUUAUACCCUAUGUGUGUAUACGUAUAACUUAUAACUUAGUAUUUAUAAUUACAUUUUGUAGAAACGAAUAUACGAUGUGAACAAUA